rnacentral:tRNA from 1 species
AAUCUUAUAUUCAAAAAAAAAUGAUUUUAAAUUGCAAAUUUAAAGGUGAAUAAAAAAAUUCUUAGAUUU